UUUCAACUUGAGAGUUUGAUCCUGGCUCAGAACGAACGCUGGCGGCAGGCCUAACACAUGCAAGUCGAACGGCCCCGGACUUGAUCCGGGGUAGUGGCG
rnacentral:rRNA from 1 species